CACGUAGGGUGCGAGCGUUGUCCGGAAUUAUUGGGCGUAAAGAGCUCGUAGGCGGUGUGUCGCGUCGGCCGUGAAAACUUGCAGCUUAACUGUGGGCGUGCGGUCGAUACGGGCAUCACUGGAGUUCGGCAGGGGAGACUGGAAUUCCUGGUGUAGCGGUGAAAUGCGCAGAUAUCGGGAGGAACACCGGUGGCGAAGGCGGGUCUCUGGGCCGAUACUGACGCUGAGGAGCGAAAGCGUGGGGAGCGAACAGG
rnacentral:rRNA from 1 species